rnacentral:lncRNA from 11 species
ACAUGCAAUAAAUAAUAAUAUAUAAUAAUAUACAAUAUAAUAAUGAUAAAUAUAAUACCCAGGGUGGGAGGAAGAACAGAGGGUUCCCCCCAGGCAGGAAGCAGCCAGGCUUUGAAGCUGCAAGGCCAUGCAAUGCUCAUCAAGCUGGCCAAUGGCAACAUUCACACUUGCCUCCCAACAGGUAAGCCAAGCUCAGGUCUUGCAAAGGCAAGGGGGCGUGGCCUGCCCGGGGAAAGGGGCGUGGCCUGCCCGGGGAAAGGGGCGUGGCCGGGGCUUGCCUGGGUCCCUGCUGGGCAGCAGCUGGACAUUGCAAGCCAUGCAAGCCAGGGAGAGGACGCUGCGGCUCCAGUUUGGGAACCGGAUCGAGGCCCUUUGCGUGGUGGGAACACGCCUCUCCACGGAUGUCUAUGGAGCCAAGAACCCUUCCCUGGAGCGUGAGGUCUCAAUCAGGAGGCGGUUCAGUGGAGUUCAAUGGAGACGGAGUGGGUGACUUGUCAGCGGAGAAGGCAUGGCACAAACCCUCUGGGCCUCUGCCAGGAAGAUCCAGAAGAGCCCCCGGGAUGCCAGGCCGGCUGCACAGCGUUGCCUUGCAAUCCCCCACCUGGACCUAGGACUACUUACAAUGGACCCCAAUGGCCAGAAGGAUCUUGGUGGACUAGAUGGCCUUUGGAAGGGGCACCCAAAGGCCAUCUAGUCCACACUCAUUUGGUUUUAUACACAUGGCAUAUAUAUAAAUCUAUAUAAGCUUUCAGGCAAGAAUAAUGGUCA